GAGAAAAAGGUCGACAUGCCUAAACGCCAACCCCUAGUACCAGUUAACUCAACAACCUCCGACGUUUUGUCAACCAGGGGUGAACUUGUCUCAGAAAUGAAUGCACUGGGGUUCUACUCAGAUGGCUGCGGACAGAAGAUCCAAAUAAUGUAAAUGGGAAAUAAGAAAGGGCGCACGCAAGAUAAGUUUAGAAGAAUUCUGCAGUGCUAUUUGCUACCGCCACGAUAAAUGGCUGUAGAGGACAACUCCUGAUUCAUUUGUUUUUUUAAUGUAUGGUGCAAUUACUGAAAUAAAAAAAAUUAGAGAGAAACCUAAA